rnacentral:rRNA from 1 species
UCGGGAAUUUUGGGCAAUGGGCGAAAGCCUGACCCAGCAACGCCGCGUGAGGGAUGAAGGCCCUCGGGUCGUAAACCUCUGUCGGGAGGGAAGAAUGGUUGCCGUUCGAACAGGGCGGGAACCUGACGGUACCUCCAAAGGAAGCACCGGCUAACUCCGUGCCAGCAGCCGCGGUAAUACGGAGGGUGCAAGCGUUGUUCGGAAUCAUUGGGCGUAAAGCGCGUGUAGGCGGCUUGGCAAGUCGGUUGUGAAAGCCCGGGGCCCAACCCCGGAAUUGCAUCUGAAACUGCCUCGCUAGAGUCCCGGAGAGGAAGGCAGAAUUCCCGGUGUAGGGGUGAAAUCCGUAGAUAUCGGGAGGAAUACCAGCGGCGAAGGCGGCCUUCUGGACGGUGACUGACGCUGAGACGCGAAAGCGUGGGGAGCAAACAG